rnacentral:rRNA from 1 species
GACGAACGCUGGCGGCGUGCUUAACACAUGCAAGUCGAACGAAGUGGCGAACGGGUGAGUAAGACGGGGGUAAACUGCCCUCCUUUAUGGGAUAAAGCUUGGAAACGGGGUCUAAUAACGAAUAAAGGGGGAUGGGCUCGCGGCCUAUCAGCUUGGUGGUGGGGUGAUGGCCUACCAAGGCGGUGACGGGUAGCCGGACUGAGAGGGUGCCCGGCCACAUUGGGACGGAGAUGCGGCCUAGACUACUACGGGAUGGAGCAUUGGGGGCUAUUGCACAAGGUGCGACAGCCUGAUGCAGCGAGGGCGAGUGGGGGAUGAAGGCUUUCGGGUUGUAAACCUCUUUCGCUAUCGAGCGGGUAGGUGGAGAAGAAGCGCCGGCUAACUACGUGCCAGCAGCCGCGGUAAUAC